UGGAAGUAAUGAGAUUAGAAUAAUAAUUAAUCACAAUCUUCAGAUUCCUUUUCCCAAUUUAUCUAUUUCAUACAUUGGAUUUUAGUCCAUUUUUUUUUCGUUCAAUCAAUCAAUUUUUUAUUUUAAACCUUUUUGUUGAUAACCAAAACUUGAUUGCUUGAGUAACAAUAGAUUUUCUUGGCUGUGAAGAUAAGGGAAUACAUAAUUAUGAGAUUAUAGCCAGAUUUGAAUAAAUUCAGGAAGCACAAUAUUAUAUAUCUUGAGUGAUAAAAGUCAGUAGUUGGUCAUUUCUCUUUUAUAAGUUUUAAAUUGGUUGUUUCAAAGAAGAAGAAGAGAGAGAGAGAGAAAAAAAAAAGAAUUGGUGGCUGGGAAUAUCAUAUGGAUGUUGAUUGAUUUAAUCCAUGUUGACUCCUAAUAUAUUUUUUUUUUUUAGACUGAUUAAUCAUCAGAUUACUGCAUUACACAGAUAUUUACAACAACUGCUUAUUGUAGCAGAGAUAUUACACUGAUAUUUACAAUCAGAUAUACAUGAUUGAGACUUACAUUAUUACAAUGAAUUCUAUGAAGUACAUGCCCAAUACAAAUAACCCCUCACAGGAGAGGAUGUCCAUACUCCACUUGCAUUUCGCAAGGGAGAUGGAUAUAAAGAACAUUUAGCCCCCACAAUGCUUUUGUGGGGGCUAGAACCGCUGCCCUCACAAGCAUGCAAGGGAGAUGGAUAUAAAGAACAUUUAGCCCCCACAAUGCUUUUGUGGGGGCUAGAACCGCUGCCCUCACAAUGCUUGUGAGGGCAGCAGCCCACCACUUCAGCCAAGGCCGAAGUGGCAUGUUGACUCCUAAUAUAAAAACAAUUUUGAUUGAUUUAACAAUUCAUAGUGACAAUAUUCCAUUAAUAAAAUACAUUUAUUCAAGAAAGUAGAUUAGUAUAAGGGACAUUGUUAAAACACACUAAUAUGAAUUGAAGCCUAAUGCUUUUGUUGGUCAAAAAAGACAAUUUGAUGGCUCACCAAACUCCGCUAGCAUGUAUAAGUGCUAAAAGACUAUUGAAUGCUGAAUCUUUUCUUAAGCGCCACAUCACUAACUUGGGAAGAAGUCACCAUUUCACUUGUAAUAAAUUUAUUAACCUCAAAUUUCAAUCCCUGCAGGAAGAAAAACAAAAUCUCAAAGGGGUUGAAUUUUUAAGAACUUUGCACCGCGCAUUUACACCAAAUUGGAUUUUUUAAGAAUUUUUGCAUCAAGUUAAAAAUGUCACGUGUUGCAUGAAGUUUUCACUUCAUGCAUUUAACAUGCAGCGGAGUUUGAUGCAACAAUUAUGAAAACUCCCCAAUUUAUUAUGCUACCGGCCAGUUUAAUAGGGAUUGGAACGCGGUUGUGUUCAUGAGGCAGGAGACCACCGGAAGUCAGAAGAACUCUUUAUGAAAGAGGAAAAAGGAAAGUAAAAAAAAAAAACGUAAUAUAAAGUUUUGGUUAGACCAUUGAAAUUUCAAAUCCUCCGCAAUUCCAAUUUGAUUUUGAUUCUUGUACACGAAUAAAAAUAU
rnacentral:lncRNA from 1 species